rnacentral:rRNA from 1 species
UUGCGCAGGUACGGCCCGAUUUUCAAAACAAGCUUGCUGGGGCAGCGUGUGGUUAUUUCCACCGACCCGGAGAUGAAUCGGUUCAUCCUUCAGCAGGAGGACACAUUGUUCCAUAUUUGGUUCCCCCGGGCACUGGCUAAAAUAUUUGGGGAGAAGAGCCUGGAAGCCUUCCAUGGCAAAACCCACAAGUUCAUCCGAAGAUGCACCCACACGCUGUUGGGUGCCCAGACUCUCAGAGAUGUGCUCCUUCCUGAGAUGGAGGCCGCCGUGAGGGAGCGCCUUGCCGCAUGGGCCACCAAGCCGAGCGUCGACGCGCGUGGCGGUGCGCCCGACUCGGGACAACUGCGGAGCACGUUCGAUGUGCUUUUCACAGAGCUCUUAUCCUUUCCGAUAUAUUUUCCCGGGACAUCAUUUUACCGAUGCAUGCAGGCAAGGAAAAUUGUGCAGAAGACAGUCCGGGACACGUUGGCAGAGAGGUUAAGUACACCAGGGAAUAAACAUGGCGACCUCCUUGACAUAAUUGUCGAAGAGCUGCGGGCUGAAGAGACAUCACUAAGUGAGAAUUUGGCUGUUGAUAUUGUCUCAGCGUUGUUGUUCGGCAGCGUCUUCACGCUAUCAGGAGUCAUCGCUGUAACAUUCAAGUCACUCCAUGACAACCCGGACGUUGUCCAUGCCCUCGAGAAGGAGAACCGAGCUAUGCUCAACAAUCGGAAGGGUGGGUGCUCCGGGCUCACAUGGGAGGAGUACAAGUCAUUGACAUUCACUAAUCAGGUGACCAAUGAGAUCAUUCGAAUCAGCAAUGCCGUACUUGGAUCAUUUAGGACAACUCUUGCAGAUGCACAAGUCAAUGGCUAUACAAUUCCAGCCGGAUGGCUGGUCAUAGUCAACCCCAUGGCAGCUCAUAUGAACGAAGACUUUUUCGAAGACCCACUCAAAUUUAACCCAUGAACGUGGAUGGAUGAGUCAAAACGCAGCACAAUGCUGAAGAAUUUCUUGCCAUUCGGAGUAGGCAUCACAGUAUGUCCUGCCGCAGAGUUUAUCAAGCUGUUACUAACACUUACCCUCCAUAUUUUGGUGACGGAGUAUAGAUGGGAAGAAAUGAAAGAAACAUAUGCAUUUCGAAGUGCGGAGGUUAUGUUCCCGCAGGGCUACCACAUCCGACUUCGACCAAAGGACGACCAAACGAGAUGA